UACGUAGGUGACAAGCGUUGUCCGGAUUUACUGGGCGUAAAGGGCGCGUAGGCGGCCCACUAAGUCAGACGUGAAAUCCCCCGGCUUAACCUGGGAACUGCGUCUGAUACUGGAGGGCUUGAGUAUGGGAGAGGGAUGUAGAAUUCCAGGUGUAGCGGUGAAAUGCGUAGAUAUCUGGAGGAACACCUGAGGUGAAGACGGGUUGCUGGGCCAACACUGACCGGCUGAGGCGACGGAAAGCCAGGGGAGCAAACGGG
rnacentral:rRNA from 1 species